CCUACGGGAGGCAGCAGUAGGGAAUCUUCGGCAAUGGGGGCAACCCUGACCGAGCAACACCGCGUGAGUGAAGAAGGUUUUCGGAUCGUAAAGCUCUGUUGUAAGAGAAGAACGAGUGUGAGAGUGGAAAGUUCACACUGUGACGGUAUCUUACCAGAAAGGGACGGCUAACUACGUGCCAGCAGCCGCGGUAAUACGUAGGUCCCGAGCGUUGUCCGGAUUUAUUGGGCGUAAAGCGAGCGCAGGCGGUUAGAUAAGUCUGAAGUUAAAGGCUGUGGCUUAACCAUAGUACGCUUUGGAAACUGUUUAACUUGAGUGCAGAAGGGGAGAGUGGAAUUCCAUGUGUAGCGGUGAAAUGCGUAGAUAUAUGGAGGAACACCGGUGGCGAAAGCGGCUCUCUGGUCUGUAACUGACGCUGAGGCUCGAAAGCGUGGGGAGCAAACAGGAUUAGAUACCCUGGUAGUCCACGCCGUAGACGAUGAGUGCUAGGUGUUAGACCCUUUCCGGGGUUUAGUGCCGCAGCUAACGCAUUAAGCACUCCGCCUGGGGAGUACGACCGCAAGGUUGAAACUCAAAGGAAUUGACGG
rnacentral:rRNA from 1 species